ACACCUCAACUCUUCAUGGUUCGCUAUGAUGAGCUUGGACUUUGGGGGUCUUGCUGGCCUAUGGUUGGCUCCUCUCAAACGGAUCAGCUUACCAGUGUUUGGUGGCAUCACAGGUGUGAUAAAUAUCUAUGCUUGUGGUUUCCACCAUAUAGCCUUCAGCGAUGAAGGUUCUCUGGAGCUCACAAAUGUCCCUCCUCAGCGAGGACAGCUUUUGAAC
rnacentral:misc_RNA from 1 species